rnacentral:rRNA from 1 species
GACGAACGCUGGCGGCGUGCCUAAUACAUGCAAGUAGAACGCACAGUUUAUACCGUAGCUUGCUACACCAUAGACUGUGAGUUGCGAACGGGUGAGUAACGCGUAGGUAACCUGCCUGGUAGCGGGGGAUAACUAUUGGAAACGAUAGCUAAUACCGCAUAAUAUUGAUUAUUGCAUGAUAAUUGAUUGAAAGAUGCUAUUGCAUCACUACCAGAUGGACCUGCGUUGUAUUAGCUAGUAGGUGAGGUAACGGCUCACCUAGGCGACGAUACAUAGCCGACCUGAGAGGGUGAUCGGCCACACUGGGACUGAGACACGGCCCAGACUCCUACGGGAGGCAGCAGUAGGGAAUCUUCGGCAAUAGACGAAAGUCUGACCGAGCAGCGCCGCGUGAGUGAAGAAGGUUUUCGGAUCGUAAAGCUCUGUUGUAAGAGAAGAACGGGUGUGAGAGUGGAAAGUUCACACUGUGACGGUAUCUUACCAGAAAGGGACGGCUAACUACGUG